rnacentral:rRNA from 1 species
GACAGAGGGUGCAAACGUUGUUCGGAAUUACUGGGCGUAAAGCGCGUGUAGGCUGCUUGGCAAGUCGGAUGUGAAAGCCCCUGGGCUCAACCCCAGGAAGUGCAUUCGAAAACUGCCCGAGCUGGAGUCCUGGAGAGGAAGGGCGGGAAAUUCUCGGUGUAGAGGUGAAAAUUUCGUAGAUAUCGAGAGGAACACCGGUGG